UUUCUACUCCCUCCGUCCGAAAAUACUUGUCAUCAAAAUGGAUAAAAAUAGAUGUAUCUAAAACUAAAAUACGUCUAGAUANUACAUUUCCUUUUAUCCAUUUUGAUGACAAGUAUUUCCGGACGGAGGGAGUAUUUG
rnacentral:pre_miRNA from 1 species